UUUUUAUUCUAGAAUAAGGUAUGCAUUUCGUUGUAAUAAAUUCAAAAAUUUUUGGAAACUAUUAGACGUUAAGGUCAGAAUAGAUU
rnacentral:tRNA from 1 species